rnacentral:rRNA from 1 species
UACGGAGGGUGCGAGCGUUGUCCGGAAUCACUGGGCGUAAAGGGCUCGUAGGUGGCCAACUAAGUCAGACGUGAAAUCCCUCAGCUUAACUGGGGAACUGCGUCUGAUACUGGAUGGCUUGAGUUUGGGAGAGGGAUGCGGAAUUCCAGGUGUAGCGGUGAAAUGCGUAGAUAUCUGGAGGAACACCGGUGGCGAAGGCGGCAUCCUGGACCAACACUGACACUGAUGAGCGAAAGCCAGGGGAGCAAACGGG